AUUUGCAUUGCCUGCGGGCUGGAAGCGCCCCCUGUGAGGGCCACAGAGUUAGGUAGGGAGCUGUAUCCAGGGCAACUCCAUACAAACUUAACGCAGGAGCAGCCCUUGUAGAGUGGUGCUGACAUUGGGAUUAGGAUCUGUUCUAUGAGACCGUGACCAGCUGAUAAAUUGAAGUGGUAAUUUGGGAUUUAACCAAACAGAGCAGUAAAUGUAUCAGAAUGAUGAAAAUCCAAGACGAGAAAAGACUGGAGGAACCAUACAAGUUGAAGUAAGAAAAAGAAAAGAAUAAUUGUUUCAACAUUCAAAUUUCUUCAUGGCUUGUACAAUGCAAAAUUUUUCCAAGUUUAGGAAGUAUAUGAGAACUAGAGAUUAGAAAAUGGAUGUGAAGUCCCCAAACAUCUCUGCAUCAACUAACUCCAAAACCCAGCACAGGAAGAAGGUGAGAAGACCCUGAGUCUGGAGAGAUUGGACUACAAAGCAAAAUGAACUGUUAUACAGACUUAGGUGGAAAGUAUACUCUCCUACCAAAAAAACCAGUUGUUUUCCUAUUUCUUUCUGCACUUAAUCCUAUCUUCAAUGUGCCCUUUUAAUUGACUUUAACACAAAUAUUAUGAAUAUGAAUUACAAGACAAUAUUAAAGGUAAAAGAAAACUUAAAAUGACAAGCUAAACUGUUUCACCGAAAUGUAUUUGCAUGUGUCCAAACCUUACUCAUAUAUCAACAUCUAAUUUAGAUAAACCUCCAUUGAGGCCUUCCCAGUCCUUUCUUCUUAGAAUAAGUCUCUUUCUCCUAUACAUUUGAAUAACAUUCUACCUGUAA
rnacentral:lncRNA from 1 species